rnacentral:rRNA from 1 species
UGGAUCCAGACUUUGAUCAUGGCUCAGAACGAACGCUGGCGGCAUGGAUUAGGCAUGCAAGUCGAACGGUGCAGCAAUGCACAGUGGCGCAAGGGUGAGGAACGCGUGAGUAACCUGCCCUUAAGUUGGGAAUAGCUCCUGGAAACGGGAAUUAAUACCGAAUGUGAUCGCCGGAAGACAUCUUCUGGUGAUUAAAGGCCGCAAGGUCGCUUAAGGAGGGGCUCGCGUCCCAUUAGCUAGUUGGUGAGGUAACGGCCCACCAAGGCGAAGAUGGGUAGCUGGUCUGAGAGGACGAUCAGCCACACUGGGACUGAGAUACUGCCCAGACUCCUACGGGAGGCUGCAGUCGAGAAUUUUGGGCAAUGGGGGCAACCCUGACCCAGCAAUGCCGCGUGCGGGAUGAAGGUCUUCGGAUUGUAAACCGCUGUCAAGAGGGACGAAUACAAUUGACGGUACCUCUGGAGGAAGUCACGGCUAACUACGUGCCAGCAGCCGCGGUAAUACGUAGGUGACAAGCGUUGUUCGGAUUCAUUGGGCGUAAAGGGUCCGCAGGUGGUUUGAUAAGUCUGACGUGAAAUACCGGAGCUCAACUCCGGAACUGCGUUGGAGACUGUUGAACUGGAGUAUCGGAGAGGAAAUUGGAAUUCCAGGUGUAGCGGUGGAAUGCGUAGAUAUCUGGAAGAACAUCGACAGCGAAGGCAGAUUUCUGGACGAUAACUGACACUCAGGGACGAAAGCAUGGGGAGCAAACAGGAUUAGAUACCCUGGUAGUCCAUGCCCUAAACGUUGUAAACUUGAUAUGGGGAGAUUUACUCCUUUCCGUGUCGAAGCUAACGCGAUAAGUUUACCGCCUGGGAACUACGGCCGCAAGGCUACAACUCAAAGGAAUUGACGGA